CGAGAGCGCCGGGGGCGCGCGCGCCCCCUCGCUACGGCGCCCUCCCCCUCAGCCGCCGGGCCGCCGCGUUUAUUAAAUGCUGGUGACCAUGCUCCCUCAUCAGGGUAAUCCGUCUCCCCGUUUGAAAGGCUGUCAGGGAAGGAUGGUCACACGGGAAUGGGAUACACCAGCAAUGGAUUCUAGAUUCAUCCGGAUCAUCCACCCUGGAAAAAAUUCCAAAGGCAAAAUUGAAGAGCUAUGGCUACAGUUGUUGGCCGCUCAUUUGAAAACCCACCACUGAUAUUGGAAACUAGUUUUACUAACAGAACUGCAAGCAAAAGAACAGUACCAUCAGCGCUUUCCUUAGAAUUUUGAGUGUGAAUUCAUAUUCAGUGUCAACUCAGCUGCUUUAUAAAAGUUACCUUGGUUUUAUCUCUCUUAAGAUUAAUAAUACACUAGAAUAUCAUAUCUUCUGAUAAAACUGGCCUUAAGUUUAAGGAAUCAAUCUCAAUUUUAUAUAGUUCUAAAUAAAUACCUUUGCGCUCUA